GCCCUUCCCCUUUCACUUGAGUGUCCCUGUGUCCCAUGUUGUCCUCUCCAACAUGGGGCAUUGUCAGAAUAGUGCUGCCCAUGAUGGUUCAUUUUGAUCCAAGUCUUUAUUAGUGAAAAGUUUUCAGGCAAAUGAUUUUAACUUCUCCAAGUUCAGGUCCUUCACCAGGGGAAUAAGGAAUUGUGUCAUACUUUGCUGGAAGGCCCUUGAUGAUGAGACAGAAAGUGGUAUAAACCUACAAAUUCCUAACACAGCCGCUGGCAGGAUCCUGGGACAACCAUUGGGUGGUACCAUGUCUAUGCUCAGAAUACGGAGGUCUUCUUGUCUCCCUCACAGCUCUGCCUCACUUCCUCAAAGUCCCUCAAGUCACUGUUGUCCUCACAAUGGCCCCUUGGCUCUUUCAAGCCUAUACCUACCUGGAAACCAUCUCAUUUGCUGUUUGGUCUAGCACAUUCCUUUUCCAGGAGCCCUGCCACGCACACCCUGCUCCCUUCAAACCCUCGCUCAGAAUGUUAGCUCUCAGGGAGAACGUUCUCUCCCUACUCCCACCCCCAUUAAAAGGUUUAUUUCACCUCCCUUCAAAGACUUCACGUUUUCCUCCCCCACUUUCCUCUUUCCUCUUGAGUAUCUACCUUUUAGUAUUCAUCUCAUUGUUUUCUCCCACACUAGGUUUCUUGGGGGCACAGAUAGCCAAGCCAGAGAACUGCUAUAAUCUUCUACAACAGUACCUAUCACCAUGCACUAUGAAUUCUGUCAAUUGGUGAACUUUUCUUCCAAUUCUUUCUGAACCUUCAUUUCACAUCGCUUUUCUUAAAUCAUCACACUGGCAAACUCAUGGUUUCUCCUCAUUUGUGAGUCAUUUUUACUUUCUUCUCUUCUCCUUCCAUUUGCUCUUCAACAGAAUAAAUCCAAGCUAACUGUUUGUCCUGUUUCUACAUGUGGUCUAUGGGUUUUGUGUAGCAUAUUGGUUUUAUUAUAUUGUUUUAUAGCUUUUGCAACAAUCUUAUGCAUAUAUAUAUACAUAUAUAUAUGUACAUAUAUAUAUAUGUUUAAUUAGCUCAAUUGAUUGGUUUCAACUAUUGUAUCUUGCAGUAUCAUACUGAGUAAGAUAAAUUUUAUCUGUCCUCAAUUUUUGGCAAUCUCUAAAUAGAGCAAUGCUUAGUCACUUGUAUAUAUGUUCUAUAUUUUAAAUUUUAUCUCCUUUUGAAAUGAAAGAAGUGAAAUGACUACAGUUCUAUUUUUUUAAAGAUUCUAGUAACUAGCAUAAUAUCUGCUCUACUUCAGAUGCCUCAAUCAAAAGCUCUCAGCUUAAAAUCCUGUUUUCUGAGAUGAUUCUCUUGUUUUCUCUAGCACUGCACAAUUAGCUUCAAUUCUUACACAUUCCUUCCUUCCAACUUCACUGCAUUGGGUGCAGAGCCUGCAUAGCACAUGCAAGUACUUAAAGUAAAAUACAUACAUAAAAAUUUGUAAGAAAGUGUUUUUCAAAAUAUAUAAGGAAAAAUCUCCUUCAAAAUAAAGAUCUUUACUGGAACUCUUUAGAGAAUUCACAUCCCAAAUGUGGCUAUUUUUAAUGGCACUAAUUCUAAAAUUCUAGUCUCUGUCCCUCCUGUACAUGUAACUACUACAAACAGGGAAAACCAAUGGCUCUUUUUAUAGCAUCUUCACAUAAAAAUCUCCACACCAUUCAGAUGACUGAUGUCAGCACAGUGGGUGAGGGGCAUGAAUAGGCAUUGGGAAAUCCCUGCGAAUCCAUCAUCCUGAGAGACAGCACAGUGCCCACCGUGACUCCAGAGAGACUGAAAUG
rnacentral:lncRNA from 1 species